CCCCCGUGAUGAGUCGCCAUGCUAAUACCGAGGCACCGGGCGAGACGUCGGACGUUCCGCAUCGGGUGCCGUUGAGUUAAACUCUGCUUCUCUCGCGGAGACCUGAGGGGC